rnacentral:rRNA from 1 species
GACGAACGCUGGCGGCGUGCCUAACACAUGCAAGUCGAACGGAAACGCCCUGCUUGCGUGGGGUUCCCGAGUGGCGAACGGGUGCGUAACACGUGUGCAACCUGCUCUUGAUUUUGGGAUAACUUCAGGAAACUGGGGUUAAUAUCGGAUAGGAGCUCCUGUUGCAUGGUGGGGGUUGGAUCGUCUCGGCGGGUGGGGAUGGAUUCGCGGCUUACCAGCUUGUUGGUUGGGUAGUGGCUUACCAAGGCAUUGACGGGUAGGCGGCCUGAGAGGGUGACCGGCCACAUUGGGACUGAGGGACGGACCAGACUCCAACGGUGGGCAGCAGUGGCGAAUAUUGCACAGUGAGCGGAAGCCUGAUGCAACGGCGCCGCGUGCGGGAUGACGGCCUUCGGGUUAUAAACCGCUUUCGCCUGUGACGAAGCGUGAGUGACGGUAAUGGAUAAAGAAGCACCGGCUAACUACGUG